rnacentral:rRNA from 1 species
AGCUCCAGUAGCGUAUAUUAAUGUUGUUGCAGUUAAAAAGCUCGUAGUUGGAUUUCUGACUCGGUGGGCUGACCCGCUUUCAAAUCGAGAGCGUGUGUUGCGCUACGCCAGUCAUCUUUUCGGGGAACUGUCUUACCCUUCACUGGGCCGAGAUCGCGAACCGAAACUUUUACUUUGAAAAAAUUAGAGUGUUCAAAGCAGGCUAUUGCACAUGAAUACAUUAGCAUGGAAUAAUAACUUAGGACUUCGGUCUUAAUUUGUUGGUUUCUAGGGCUGAAGUAAUGAUUGAUAGGGAUAGUUGGGGGUGCUAGUAUUCAGCGGCCAGAGGUGAAAUUCUUGGAUUCGCUGAAGACUAACUUAUGCGAAAGCAUUCACCAAGGAUGUCUUCUUUA